AAUCAAUAAAAUGAAUUAAAUAACCAUAUCUUGAAUUAGAAUCCAGUGGCAGAAAUACCAGUCCUUGUUGGGCUCUGAACUAACCUUAUUCUUCCAUGGUCCUCGGUCUUUGCCUGCACCCACCCCAAAUUCUCAUCACCUCUUCCCUCGCUGCACCACUUCCAGCAACCCCUAGCAUUUUUCCUGGUGUCUGUCUGUUCCUACAUUAGGUGACUGGAUAUUCCAGAGGAGAGUUCUUCAGAGAUGCCCACAGGCAAGAAGAGAAUCACCUCCGGCGGAAUCUACCUUGGAUUGCUGAACCAAAAAUAAUUGCAAAUCAGAAUUCUUCUUGGAACCUUACAGCCAACUCUCGUUUAUUCCCCAAUCAGUAUCUUUCCUGGAUUCUCCUUACCUCAUACUCUGCAUCUCCAGAUGUCUCUUCAGCAUCUCUACUUGGAAAUCCUAACUGGUGGAGCAACACUCUGCACCUAAAAUUUGACUUCUAUCCAGAACCUAACAGAGGAGUUGAAGUGGAUGGAUAAUACAAUAAAAAGCUCAAGAUUCCAGCUUUCCAAGAUAAGAGAUGGCAUCUGCAUUUGGAAGGCAUGAGGAACUUCCACGAAAGCUUGAGAGAUCUUCCAGUUCACCAGUAAGAAGAAGGUGUACCUAGAAAGAGGGCAUCUCAGGCAGGGGGGCACACAUGCAAAACAUGAGAUGGAGUAUAUGUGCUUGAGGAUGUGAAAAUCCCUUCUCCGUGCAUGUGACCUACACUUCAUGAAUUGGCACCAGAUGCUGAAAGACCUGAUUCAGAACUUUCAGCUAAUGCUUCAGAACCAAUACAGCAAGAAGAGCAAGAAGAGGGGGAGACUGGUCAAAGCUGACAUUAACACUUGGAGAGACAUCAAGGCCUUGUCCAACGAUGCCCAAACAACGCUGACAGAGAUGAACAAAAAACUGAUGCUUGAAAAAUCUAUUUUUUGCCAUGAGUGCAAAACUUACUGUAAACUCUAGGAUACUUUGUUACAUCCUAGUAUACCUGUUCCUGUCCCUGCCAUCAUUUACUGCCUUAAACAAUUAUUCUUUAGAACUAUAUUUCUGUUGUUAUCUUGGAUUAUGCAAAGAUUUCUCUGAUAUGAUACUAUUAGCAUAAUUCAUAAGAGAAAAAUGGAUCAAUUAUACUACAACAGAAUCUAAAGUUUCUGUUUCUUAAAAGAAAUUAUUAUGAAAAUACAAUA